UUUUGUAUUUUUAGUAGAGACGGUUUCACCAUAUUGGUCAGGCUGGUCUCGAACUCCUGAUCUCGUGAUCCACCCGCCUUGGCCUCCCAAAGUGCUGGGAUUACAGGCGUGAGCCACCAUACCCAGCCUGGAGUUCCUUUCUUGAGUGUGUAGAGGAUUGAGGGUUGAUUGGUUUUUGGAGUUUCCAUCAUUAAUGUAGGAGCGAUACGGGGAAUCACUUGGCGAAGCUUUCAUUGUCUCUGAUGUUGGAGGUAACUGGAGGGCCAGUGCCUGGGGCUUCCAUUUUUUUCUAGUGUUGAAGGGUCAAGAGCAUUUAUCAGAUAGAGGCCUUACUGUGUAUUGUUUGGGGAGAGGAUGGAGGGAUUAUUGGAUGGGGUUCCACUUAUCUCUAGUUGGGGAGGGUCAUAUUCUGGGUCUCCGCUUGCCUGUACUGUUGGUAUAGACUGGGUAGGCCAUUGGGCUUGGAGUCCCCAUUCUUUAGUGUUGAGGGGCAUCUGAAGGGGUCAUUUCAGGGACUUCUGUUAUAGUUUUGGACGUGACUGAGGGGUGCUUGCUGGAGUAGUUUCGCGAUGACGGAGGUCUUCAUGUUUGGACUCCAUCUUUUGUGUUUGUCCUGCUGCUCACCACUGCACAGAAAGCCUA
rnacentral:lncRNA from 10 species